UAGCAUAUUAGUAGGCGGUGGAAGAUAAUCCAAAAGGGAUUCCUUCAGUAAUGGCGAAUGAACGGGGAAAAGCUCAGCAAAGAAAUCGAGGACUCCGGCCUUGAGUUGUGGACUUGAGAGGUAUCGCCAAUGGUGGCACAGGUGGGGGCCUCUUGGAAAAGGGCACCACAGAGGGUGUGAGUCCUGUUUGCCAUCUGUAGUCCGCUGUGUACGGCAUGCCUCCUCCGAGUCACGUUCCUUGGAAUUGGAGCGCGAAGGUGGUGGUGGCUUUCAUCUCAAGCUAAGUAUGGGUUCGAGACCGAUAGCAAACAAGUACCAUGAGGGAAAAUUGAAAAGAGCUUUGGAAAGAGAGUUAAAAGUGCCCGAACUUGCUGAUAGGGAAGCGAAGGGAGCUGACGUUGCUUGGUAACAUCUUCCGCGCAGGACUAGGAUGGGUUCUGAUUGCAAUGUGUGUUGUGUUUCUUGCCAUGCGUGUCAAUGCCAAGUAAUGAGUGGGGAGAGCUCCAGGGAUAAUGAUUGUUUCUGUCCCCGGGUAGACGAAUAUGUCUGGGUGCAUCCAUUUGUGGGCUGAAAAAUUGGUGGUUGGUUGCAGCUCCCUGCCUACGAGGCAAUUGGGGUGUAGCCUGACACGCAGACGAGGA
rnacentral:rRNA from 1 species